AGAUCUGAAGAUGGGGAGGAGAGCAGAGCGUGGUGGCACGGCUGGAAUUCAGUGGCAACAUCGCAGCUUGCCACAGCCUCAACCUCUCAGGUUCAAGUGAUCCUCCUACUUCAGCAUCAUGAGUAGCUGGGACUACAGGCAUGCACCACUGAAAAUGGAAGUAUUAACAAUGCCUGCCACUGCCUACUCAAGAUGUUGCAAAGAUCCAACGAGAUCUCUAACCUACUUGAAAGGGCUUCAGAAACUUUGGAGCACCAUACAGUAUCACACAAGCCCUCAAUUACUGCCACGUCCCUGAAUCCCUUGGUGUCAAUUCACCAUUAAACAACUUCUCCCUUGCUCUGCAGUUUGAAUACGGUCUGUCUUUUAGGCACUGAUUCUCAUACUCUGGUGUGUAACAGAAAUGCCUGUAGCACUUAAAGAUACAAAUGCCCAGCCCUGGGACUUCUGCCUCAGCAAGUUAUCCUUUGCGGGAAGGAUCGUUGGACAGAAAGAGGCAGAACACAGAAGAGAAAGAAGCAGCAGCACCUUUUUUUUUCUUUUCUUUUUUUCUCUUUUUGAGACAAGGCCUCACUCUGUUGCCCAGGCUGAAGUGCGGUGGCAUGAUUAUGGCUCACUAUAGCCUCGACAUCCUGGACUCAAGCAAUCCUCCCACCUUAGCCUCCUGAGUACGUAGAACUACGGGCAUGCACUACCAGGCCUGGCUAAUUUUUUAAUUUUUGUUUUGUUUGUUUUGUAGAGACAGGGUCUCACUAUAUUGCCAAGGCUGGUCUUGAACUCCUGGCUCAAGUGAUCCUUCCACUUUGGCCUCCCAAAGUGCUGGGAUUACAGAUGCGAGCCAUCAUGCCCAGUGGAGAAGCAGCACUCUUGGCACAUAAGGACAACACAAGUCAACAAGACUGGGGACCAAAUUAACAAAGGGAAGCCUUUCUGUGAUACAGUCCCCCAAGCCACUGCCAGACCUACCUCCUUAUGGACAUGAGUGAUGGCUGUGGAGAGUUCUAAGCCAUCAAGCAAAUUAUUGCCAUCAUAAUCAUGCAUUUUGAAGUAAUGGAGCUGCAAUUCUUGUGGCGACAUCUCCGCCUCUGGUUUGUUGAUGACACCUUCUAGAUGCUCCAUGAUAUGCCUAAAAAUCAACAGUCAGGUUCAGGCCAAUUGACAGAUACUGGGAUCAUGCUGAAAUCUUAAGGACUCUGAAAAGUUCAAGAUCUUAAACUUCCUCCAGCUCAGAAAAACAAACACCAGCAGUGGCAGACCACACUCAAGGAUUACACAGAGAUAGACAAGGCCUUGAGAGGAGCAGGAAAAGUCAAAUAGACCAUCUGUUAUGCUGGCAGGAUUAGGGUAUUCUUUCCUCUUUAUUAUUAGAAUUUUGUUAUAACAUUUUCAGGCCAUCAAUUUAAAAAUAUGUCCUUUAAAACUUUUUUUUUUUUUUGAGACAGGGUCUCACUCUGCCACCCAGGCUGGAGUGCAGGAGCGUGAUCUUGGCUCAUUGUAGCCUCAACUUCCCAAGCUCAGUUGAUUCUCCCACUUCAGCCCCCCAAGUAGCUGGGACCAUAGGCAUGUACUGCCACAUCCAGCUAAUUUUUUGCAAUUUUUUAGUAGAGACAGGUUUUCCCUAUAUUGCCUAGGCUGGUCUCGAAUUCCUGGGCUCAAGUAAUCCACCUGCCUCAGCCUCCCAAAGCACUGGGAUUACAGGUGUGAGCCACUGCACCCAGCCUUAAAAACAAAGGAUAACCGAGUAUAAUGCGUGAGGCUAACUGGCCCAAGACAAAAGCUGCAACAAAUGAUUCAAUGUUUGAAUGUGUUGAUUUAAAAAAGGUCUUGUUAUAGUC
ensembl:lncRNA novel transcript, antisense to MCFD2